rnacentral:rRNA from 1 species
GAUGAACGCUGGCGGCGUGCCUAAUACAUGCGAGUCGAGCGAACAGAUGAGGAGCUUGCUCCUCUGACGUUAGCGGCGGACGGGUGGGUAACACGUGGAUAACCUACCUAUAAGACUGGGAUAACUUCGGGAAACCGGAGCUAAUACCGGAUAAUAUAUUGAACCGCAUGGUUCAAUAGUGAAAGACGGUUUUGCUGUCACUUAUAGAUGGAUCCGCGCCGCAUUAGCUAGUUGGUAAGGUAACGGCUUACCAAGGCAACGAUGCGUAGCCGACCUGAGAGGGUGAUCGGCCACACUGGAACUGAGACACGGUCCAGACUCCUACGGGAGGCAGCAGUAGGGAAUCUUCCGCAAUGGGCGAAAGCCUGACGGAGCAACGCCGCGUGAGUGAUGAAGGUCUUCGGAUCGUAAAACUCUGUUAUUAGGGAAGAACAAAUGUGUAAGUAACUAUGCACGUCUUGACGGUACCUAAUCAGAAAGCCACGGCUAACUACGUG